GUACUAACAAAUCGCAGAAUCACGAUUUGAAAGAGAUUUGAUUACGAUUUGAAAGCAAUUUGUUCAUUUAUUUUUCUGUUUGGGUUAGCAACUCAAUGUAACCGCUGUUUCGAAGUUUACCCGGAUUUCAUGAAAUGGAAAGGUUCCAUUUGAACUCCUUUUAAAAUAAUGUUUCAAAUUUGUACAUCUUUUAUUUUAAGUGGUAUCAGGGGAAAAUAAAAUUUUGCUUUACGGGAUUUAUAAAUAUUGAUAUGAAAUAUGUACGACAUUAAGUAGAAUUACAUUUUAUAGAUCAGAUAUCUGUUUUUAUAUUUUAUUACAUUUUAUUUUCUACUUAUCGUAUCAUGUCAUCUAAC
rnacentral:lncRNA from 1 species